GACGAACGCUGGCGGCGUGCCUACUACAUGCAAGUCGAACGCAGUGGGUACGGGUGAGUAACACGUGGUUAACCUCCCAUCAGAGGGGAUAACACUUGGAAACAGGUGCUAAACCGAUACUGAUGGAUGGACCCGCGUUGCAUUAGCUAGUUGGUUAGGUAACGGCUCACCAAGUCCACGAUGCAUAGCCGACCUGAGAGGGGGAUCGGCCACACUGGUACGUAGACACGGACCAGACUCCUACGGCAGGCAGCAUGAGGGAAUCUUCGGCAAUGGACGAAAGUCUGACCGAGCAACGCUGCGUGAGUGAAGAAGGUUUUCGGAUCGGAAAACUCUGUUGUUAGAGAAGCGGUAUCUAACCAGAAAGCCACGGCUAACUACGUGCCAGCAGCCGCGGUAAUUC
rnacentral:rRNA from 1 species